AAAAUGGUCUGACUUAUGAGCACCACACAGUGAGGAGAAGUCAAUGCAAAACUCAGAUGUCUUCCACCUCUACUUAUGUGACUGCAGAGAGGAGGACAGAGAACAGUGGACACACAGUUUGACAUGAUGGACUAUAGGACAGGACUGCUGCUUUUAACUGUCUGCUGGGCAGGUGCUGAUGGUCAGACUCUGACAGAAUCUGAACCAGUGGUUAAAAGGCCUGGAGAAUCUCACAGAUUGACCUGUACAGCCUCUGGAUUCACAUUCAGUGACUUCUAUAUGCACUGGAUCAGACAGGCUCCUGGAAAAGGACUGGAGUGGGUUGCUUAUAUCAGUCAGCUUAGUGGUAGCGACAAAUACUACUCUCAGUCAGUCCAAGGCCGGUUUACCAUCUCCAAAGACAACAGCAGACAGCAGGUGUAUCUGCAGAUGAACAGUCUGAAGACUGAAGAUUCUGCUGUUUAUUAUUGUGCUCGAGACUCACAGUGACUGGAGUUGGUUGAGCAGCUUAACUGAGUUUUGUACUCACACCCUUUGUGA